rnacentral:tRNA from 9 species
GCCCAGAUAGCUCAGUUGGUAGAGCAAAGGACUGAAAAUCCUUGUGUCGGUGGUUCGAUCCCACCUCUGGGCACCA